CCCCCAGCACACACACACACACACACACACACACACACACCCCACCUCAUGAAUAAAAGUCUCUAUAACUCCAAGACUAGACAGACAGCUGGCAUCCUGCCUCCUGCUUUGCAUCACAGGCAUUUUAAAGAGACACCUCUGUGGUCUUCAUUCACGGAAAACAGUCAUUUAUACUACACGAGAUUCAAAACCCCAGGGAGGUACUUAAGUAAUUUAGCAUUUUUGUUUCAGUGAAAAUAUUAUUUCUAGUUCAUAAUGGGAAGUUCAAAAACAUUGCUUCUUAUCACUGAAAGCUUUCCAAAGUAUAUAAUCUGGACUCUUUAUAGGUAUGUUGCCUAUAAAAAAGCCCCGGGGAACAAAAAUCGGGUCUUCCUACAAAGAAAUGCCUUCCGUAUCUCCAGUUGCUUGAGGACAAGGUCUUUAAUUUAGGGUUGAGUGAGACUCACAGAUAAACACUUUAAAGUCUUGAGAACUGCACUUAUCUUUAACAAGCUUUUAAGAUGGGAUGGGGGCGUGCUUCUCUGUCUGCUAGGCAGACUGUGACGUCACAGAGCACACAGGGCUUUGUCCGCAAGUUCAGUAUUCUGUGCCAGAUUCUUCAUGGAAGCCAGGCAGCACGGGAGUCUUGCCACUGAGGGGGAGUGGGUGCAGUUUGAAUACUUUCCGUUACUGACCCUGGCUGAGUUUGUAUCCACCUGGGCCUGCAAGAAUGAGACCUUACCUGGGGAAAAAAAUUCAGAUGAGCUGAGAGUUAAAGAGCCCCGGAGGCUUAGUGAAAGAAGGGGAUUUCAUCGUGACCACAUCUUCGGCUUACCUUCUCCAGCACCUGGAGGAUCUGGGAAAAUUUUCAUUUGA
ensembl:lncRNA